rnacentral:rRNA from 1 species
GACGAACGCUGGCGGCGUGCUUAACACAUGCAAGUCGAGCGGUAAGGCCCUUUCGGGGGUACACGAGCGGCGAACGGGUGAGUAACACGUGGGUGACCUGCCCUCAGCUCUGGGAUAAGCCUGGGAAACUGGGUCUAAUACUGGAUAUGACUCCACGGUGCAUGUCGUGGGGUGGAAAGCCUUGUGCGGCUGAGGAUGGGCCCGCGGCCUAUCAGCUUGUUGGUGGGGUGANGGCCUACCAAGGCGACGACGGGUAGCCGGCCUGAGAGGGCGACCGGCCACACUGGGACUGAGAUACGGCCCAGACUCCUACGGGAGGCAGCAGUGGGGAAUCUUGCGCAAUGGGCGAAAGCCUGACGCAGCGACGCCGCGUGAGGGAUGACGGCCUGG